rnacentral:lncRNA from 1 species
AAUACAAAUUGGAAUUCUUCCCUCUUAAAGCACAGUCCUUCUAUACAAUUAAAAUUAGCUGUCUUACCAGGUUAAAAACUCUCCCAAUUAUUGAACUGGUAGACCCAUUCAAUUCAUAGUCACUCAUAUGUCUCUUGUCAGAUUUAUUUUGAAAAAAAUCCACUUUAUAAGAUUCAUAUAUUCAAAAUGCUAGAAAGAAUUAUACCUAGGGAAAAGACCAAACGUGACCAGCUAUAUGCUAGCUUCUACUUGGCUGUAUAAAAUUGACUCAGAAAAGAGGCUGUUUAUCUUUUGAGAGUGAGCAUUGCUUUGCCUCACAUUGUGACCUAUGAGCUGUAGCCAGGAGCAUCCUUGGCAGAGCAGGCCCUGAGGCAAACCUCAGUGUGCACUCUCUUCCUUCUCCAGGAAUGUUCUCUACACGCAAAGCCAGGAUAAAUACAGUGGGCAUUAAAGGCGGUCUUAGAGGGAAAAAGAAGUUGCUAGAGACUCAUCUGUGAUGCAUGUAAAAGUAGAAAAAUAGUCCCAAUAGUGUUUGAGGAAAGCGAUGGAAGAAUUAUGAGCCAAUUGUGUGCACGGCAGCCUUGGAUAGCUCUCUUAUGCUUUACUGUAACAUGGCUAACCUACCUGAAAUGAAACCCUGCUCAUUUGUGGCUCUGUGUUCUCCCCUAAACCCAAAGGCCCAGGGAAAAUGGCCCUGGAUUUCAACACGCUGGUCAAGGCCCCACCUCUGACUGAUAACGUGCAUUUUUCAGGUGGAGAAGAAUGACUCAGAGGCAUCUGGACACCACCCCGAAACUGGCCUCCUAUAGGAGAGGUGUAAGGGUUUCUUCAUGGCCCACCAUGAUACAUGGGCUCAAGGUGACAUCCCUCUCAAUGCCUGAGUCUUCCUUUCAGGAUGGCCGCCAUGCACAGGACUGUGGCCCUUGGGGCAUCAUUGAGUGAGGAGACGUGGGGAAUAUACGGAGAGCUCACAUCAAUCAAAGUUUUGUGAUAUGAUCCUGUCGCACAGGCCGGAGUGAACCCUGUGGGAGAACAGAGGAGUCCCUAAAUCUCCUGGAGGUGGGAGUUAGAAAGACUUCUCAGAGAAGGUAUCCUCUUAAACUGGGUGUUGCAGGAAAAUAAAGAAUGUUGUGGGUGGGGCA